GGGCUAGGGAACGAGUCUCGAGGGCGCUGGCGGGAAGGCGCGCGCGACUCAAGCCUCUGCCUGUUGGGCUGGGCGCGGCGCCGGCUGGCUGAGCAUGGCUGCGAGCGCGCCCCAGUGUCUCGCCUCCGACGCGGCGUACGGGCGGAUGGCGGCUGCGCUAGAGAAACUCACAAAGGAAGCAGACAGCUUGGCAGAAUACCAGAAACUAAUGAAAAAGCAUGAUCUUGCUUUGACCCAGUUAAACAAGAGUUUUGACCAGGUUCAAUCAAGACUGGAACGGAUAGCAGCUGUGAAGCCCAGUAAUGAAUUUUUGAGCCAGUAGCAGAGAAUGACCUGAGUUUUUCAUAUGUACUGUACUCCUGUGUACUACACAAAGCUGUUGUAGAACACAAGUGUACAAGAAACAUCAGGACAGUUCAUGUCGGAGUAGAAAGUGGGCAAAAAGUAUCUAUUUACAAAAGCAGCAUGUAUAUUAAAUUCUGAAAAUCAUCCCA